UACAGAGGUCCCAAGCGUUGUUCGGAUUCACUGGGCGUAAAGGGUGCGUAGGCGGUCGGGUAAGUCUGAUGUGAAAUCUCACAGCUUAACUGUGAAACUGCAUUGGAUACUAUUCGGCUUGAGAGUUGGAGGGGGGACUGGAAUUCUUGGUGUAGCAGUGAAAUGCGUAGAUAUCGUGAGGAACACCAGAGGCGAAGGCGGUUACCUGGACAGUUACUGACGCUCAGGCACGAAAGCAUGGGGAGCAAAAGGG
rnacentral:rRNA from 1 species